rnacentral:rRNA from 1 species
CAUGUGUAGCGGUGAAAUGCGUAGAUAUAUGGAGGGACAUCAGUGGCGAAAGCGGCUCUCUGGUCUGUCACUGACGCUGAGGCUNGAAAGCGUGGGUAGCGAACAGGAUUAGAUACCCUGGUAGUNCACGCCGUAAACGAUGAGUGCUAGGUGUUAGGCCCUUUCCGGGGCUUAGUGCCGGAGCUAACGCAAUAAGCACUCCGCCUGGGGAGUACGACCGCAAGGUUGAAACUCAAAGGAAUUGACGGGGGCCCGCACAAGCGGUGGAGCAUGUGGUUUAAUUCGAAGCAACGCGAAGAACCUUACCAGGUCUUGACAUCCCGAUGCUAUUCUUAGAGAUAGGAAGUUACUUCGGUACAUCGGAGACAGGUGGUGCAUGGUUGUCGUCAGCUCGUGUCGUGAGAUGUUGGGUUAAGUCCCGCAACGAGCGCAACCCUUAUUGUUAGUUGCCAUCAUUAAGUUGGGCACUCUAGCGAGACUGCCGGUAAUAAACCGGAGGAAGGUGGGGAUGACGUCAAAUCAUCAUGCCCCUUAUGACCUGGGCUACACACGUGCUACAAUGGUCGGUACAACGAGUUGCGAGCCGGUGACGGCAAGCUAAUCUCUGAAAGCCGAUCUCAGUUCGGAUUGGAGGCUGCAACUCGCCUCCAUGAAGUCGGAAUCGCUAGUAAUCGCGGAUCAGCACGCCGCGGUGAAUACGUUCCCGGGCCUUGUACACA